rnacentral:rRNA from 1 species
GCGUUAAUCGGAAUUACUGGGCGUAAAGCGUGCGCAGGCGGUUUUGUAAGUCUGUCGUGAAAUCCCCGGGCUCAACCUGGGAAUUGCGAUGGAGACUGCAAGGCUAGAAUCUGGCAGAGGGGGGUAGAAUUCCACGUGUAGCAGUGAAAUGCGUAGAGAUGUGGAGGAACACCGAUGGCGAAGGCAGCCCCCUGGGUCAAGAUUGACGCUCAUGCACGAAAGCGUG